CUUAUGCCGGCGACCGGCGGACGGGUGCGUAACGCGUAUGUAACCUACCUUUGACAGGGGGAUAACAUCGAGAAAUUGGUACUAAUACCCCAUAACAUCACCGGAGGCAUCUUCGGUGGUUGAAAACUCAGGUGGUUAGAGAUGGACAUGCGUUGUAUUAGCUAGUUGGUGAGGUGACGGCUCACCAAGGCGACGAUACAUAGGGGGACUGAGAGGUCAACCCCCCACAUUGGUACUGAGACACGGACCAAACUCCUACGGAAGGCAGCAG
rnacentral:rRNA from 1 species